CAAUAAUCAAUUUAAUUCUUGCAUGUUAACAACUAGAGAAAAUUCAGCAAGAAUGAUAUUCAAAGGGAUGUUUGUUGCAGCCGCUUUUAUACUAAUAACUGGAUACGGGUUGGGAUCUUUCGUUGUCUGAACUGAACCCACUUGCGCAAGACUUUUUCGAAGAGGCAGAGUCGGGGUUUUCGGAUGCCUCAAGCUGAAAGUAGAAAAUUAUAUUCAGAAAACCUUUGCUCGGAAGAGAAUGGUUCCUGGCUGUCUUGCUUGAUAACCUAUGAUUUAAGCAAGCGAGACUGUAAUUUAAUGAAUGAAUUCAUGCAAGAUUACUUCUCCGAUGAACGUACAAUUGGGCAAACUAUAUACGAUCGUAUGUGCUGUAAAACAAAAUCUGAAUGAGGAUUACAAGCACUUUUCAAAUAUCUUGGCAAUCUUCCCCUCGGUCCAGAAAUCAACUCAAUAUACCAUCUCAAAACACAUUUCUGGACUUAUAUGCUCGAUAAUUGACGGUAUAUCUAUUAAUUAAUGGUCAUGCAUUCUUGGGUGCAAUAGCCGGAAUUUUCUUGCUUAUUGGAAAAUUCGUUUGGAAAAAAAUGGUGGUGUUGGAAGAAGUCUCAGAAAAGGAAGCGAAAGCUAUAUGCAUAUUGAUCCGAAUUUACAAUCUUUCAAAAUUCUAAAUAUUUUAAAUAUUUAAUUUAAUAUGAACCUGGUAUAGACACCGUUAUAUUCUGGGAAUUAUCAAACCCAUAAACUCCAAAACUAUUAGCGAAUCAACAACUUUAUUUUUACCCAGAUGCAUUCCGGAAAUUACAAUAUUUCUCGCCCAGUUAUCAUUCUUUCAUACAAGCCAUUCGAUUAUCAUCGAUAUCACUAACACUUUUUCGAUACACUCACACAAGUUUUUUAAUAUUCAAACCGUUUUUUUCUAUUUCCACAAUAAAAUAAUUUUUCUCUUAUUUUUAAAAAACAUUAUUCUUUAAAUUCUUUAAAAAGUUAACCUAAUUAAAUGUUCAAUUAUUGCAGUAUUCUUUUUUAACCAUACACAUUAUGCAAAGUCUUGCUCGUUCUUUCACGCCACAUUUAUGAAUCUCGUGAGUAAGAUGAGAAACAACCAAUGAAACUAAUGACUGUAGCUGCAAGAACUGUACAUAAUGUGUAUGGUUAAAGAAAAGAACACAGCUACUGUAAUAAUUGAAUAUAAAAUUACAGUAAGACGCUGCCUCGCUUAAUGCUGAUUCGAUAUAACGCAGUCUGUUCGAAGGCUUAAAAUAAAAGCUCAAAAUUUAAGCCGAUUUAAAUUAUCGCGACAUUUCAUUCAUUCGUAUAUAAUACGAUUAUUUGUGAACAAAUACCAAUCAGCAAAAGGUGGCAAAAAGGUUUACUUUCUUUAAAUCUAUGUUUGGUGCAAUUCUGGAAAAAAUAUGACAUCAUGGAUGCCAUAGGAAAUAUCGACUUCGCGUUGGCAAGAAUUAACCGAUAAAUGCACUAACGAAGUGUGAAAGAAGUUAUGGCUGAAGAUAUCCAAGAAUUCUCGACGAGAAGAGCCUAUCGUUGUAUCGCUAGUUGACCAAAUUGUCAACCUAAUCGAUAUAGCAGGACUAGGAGAUAUAGACGAGUAGGAUAUUGAGGAGUUACAGCAGGUUUCUGAUGAGAGCCUUAUCAACGACGACCUUCAAGAGCUGGCAGAACAUGGAAUUCGCGUGGAACUGGAAAAUAGAGAUUCUGAAAACGAAGAACCCAAAAGUUUCUCUGUAGAUUUCCUUAGUAAA